UACGGAGGGUGCAAGCGUUAUCCGGAUUCACUGGGUUUAAAGGGUGCGUAGGCGGGCAGGUAAGUCCGUGGUGAAAUCUCUGAGCUUAACUCAGAAACUGCCAUGGAUACUAUUUGUCUUGAAUAUUGUGGAGGUCAGCGGAAUAUGUCAUGUAGCGGUGAAAUGCUUAGAUAUGACAUAGAACACCAAUUGCGAAGGCAGCUGACUACGGGAGCAUUGACACUGAGGCACGAAAGCGUGGGGAUCAAACAGG
rnacentral:rRNA from 1 species